GUAUGGAACAACCACGACUGACCGACCAAAGAGUAUGGAAUUACCACCAACGACCGACCAAAGAGUAUGGAACAACAAUGAAUGACCGACCAAAGAGAGUGGAACAACCACGAAUGACCAACAUAAGAGUAUGGAAUAACCACCAAUGACAGAUCAAAGAGUAUCAAACAACCACCAAUGACGGACCCAAGAGUAUCGAACAAACACCAAUGACAGAUCCAAGAGCAUCGAACAAACACCAAAUGACAGAUCAAAGAGUAAGGAACAGCCACCAAUGACAGACCAGAAUAUGGAACCAAAAUCUGACGAAUAACAGCUGAAAUAAUGAAACAAAACAGACCAGAGCACAAGACCACUAAUUACAGACCAAAGUAUGGUAUAACCACUAGCAUCAGACCAGAGAAGGGGACAGCAAUACUAAAAGGGCCGGUAAAGAUGGAAGCAACAACGAUGACAGAAAGCAAUCAGAGAACGGAACCACAUAUAAGACAGACUAAAGCAUAUGACGACGAAGGACAGACCAAUUAGUAUGGAACAAGCACCAAAUACAGACCAGAAGAUUGAACCAAACUCUACAAAUGCCAUCGCUGAAAUAACAAACAACAAAACAGACAACAUGGAAAGCAAAAUUAAUGGAAAACGGCUUUUGAAACAAGACUUCAGAAGAUUGAACCAAAACCUUAGAGGAACCAAAAAAAAGGACCUCAAGUGAUAGAGCACAGAGUAUGGUGCAACCACCAGCAACAGACAAAACCACAACUUAUGAUAACCCAUACCGGAUCUGAAAUAAUAUAAGAAAAGACAACUAGAACUAAAUUGACCUCAACCAACCAGACUACAGAGAAUGCAUCAACAAAGCACGAGGGAUGAGCAUGGGCCCGGACCUCAGCGGAUGUGUCCACAAAUCACAAACGAUAAAAGAAUUAGGUGAAACUACCAAUAAAACCAGCCACUGAGGACGAAAACACAACAUUCAGCAGAGCACUAUGAAUAGGACCACCACAGACAAUAGUCCACAGCAGAUGGAACCACAACCCAGGCCACGACUAGAGAAUUCGGACUACAAGUAAUGAUAGGUCUAAGGACAUCAAUCCAAGAAAGACCACAGAAGCUAUGGCACCAUUCAUGACGUAUAAAGGAAUAGAACUCCCAGUUACUUCAGAAAGAAUCUCAUACCAGAGUCUAGUUCCAGUGUUGACAGCAACAAUUCCUUACAAAACAGACAGGAGCUAGUUGGAUGCAGAACUGUUGAUAGUCUGGAUGCCAUUGCAACACUGUGGGUGGAAUGUACAUCAUUUCACUGGAUGGAAAAACAUGCAAUAGGCCGGAUUGAUCUAAAACCUGUCGCCCUUCAAACUGAGCUACAUACCGUUAAAGUUCAGGAACGAAUUUCCUCCAAAUCGGAUUGGAUAUUGCAAGUCUAGUGUUUUGAACAUGACAACACUGUGUAUCCUGUAUUCCCGGUAUCUACAAAAUCUUCACUUGUGCACAAGCAGGCUGCUGAAAAAUAUCUGUAAAUUUGAACCUGUAACCUGGGACGAAGAAAUGUUUCAAUUGAUAUAUGGAGCUGUUCACUAUGAAUAAGUGACCUAAAGACAUUUGAUCCUAAAAUUACAAAAUUAUGUGUUUUUUUAUUAUGAUCUUAUCAAAAUGUUGUCCGUGAGUCAUUUGAUGAAGGGCUAUCUCUGUUGAUUGGGUGUCAAACCCAAUCAACAGAGAUUAAAGUAAACUUUAGGUUAUCUUUUGAAAAGAACUAUACCUGUAAGUUUUCUGAGUUAUGUGAUAACAUUGUUUUCAUUUCAUAUGAGCUUUUAUGAAACUUUUCUCGAAAAUCC